CCUACGGGUGGCAGCAGUGAGGAAUAUUGGUCAAUGGGCGCGAGCCUGAACCAGCCAAGUCGCGUGAGGGAAGACGGCCCUAUGGUUUGUAAACAUCUUUUGUCGGGAGGCAAAAGCCGCCACGCGUGGCUUUCCGAGAGUACCUGAAGAGAAAGAAUCGGCUAACUCCGCGCCAGCAGCCGCGGUACUACGGAGGAUGCGAGCGUUAUCCGGAUGUAUGGGGUUAAAGGGAUGCGCAGGCGGAAGAUAAAGUCAGUGGGAAAAUUGAGAGGCCAACCCUCGUCGUGCCGUUGAAUCUGGCAGUCUUGAGUGAGGUAGAAGUAGGCGGAAUGCGUGGUGUAGCGGUGAAAUGCAUAGAUAUCACGCAGAACUCCGAUUGCGAAGGCAGCAUACCG
rnacentral:rRNA from 1 species